UUAAUUGAAGAGUUUGAUCAUGGCUCAGAUUGAACGCUGGCGGCAGGCCUAACACAUGCAAGUCGAGCGGUAACAGAGAGUAGCUUGCUACUCUGCUGACGAGCGGCGGACGGGUGAGUAAUGCUUGGGAAUAUGCCUUAUGGUGGGGGACAACAGUUGGAAACGACUGCUAAUACCGCAUGAUGUCUACGGACCAAGGUGGGGGACCUUCGGGCCUCUCGCCCUA
rnacentral:rRNA from 1 species